UAUGUGAGUAUGUGCGCCAUGCAGC
rnacentral:piRNA from 1 species